UGGGGAAUAUUGCGCAAUGGGCGAAAGCCUGACGCAGCGACGCCGCGUGGGUGAUGAAGGCCUUCGGGUCGUAAAGCCCUGUCAAGAGGGACGAAACCUCGUCGACCUAAUACGUCGGCGACCUGACGGUACCUCUGAAGGAAGCACCGGCUAACUCCGUGCCAGCAGCCGCGGUAAUACGGAGGGUGCAAGCGUUGUUCGGAAUCACUGGGCGUAAAGCGCGUGUAGGCGGCCUCCUCAGUCUGGUGUGAAAGCCCGGGGCUCACCCCCGGAAGUGCAUUGGAUACUGGGAGGCUGGAGUACCGGAGAGGAGGGUGGAAUUCCUGGUGUAGCGGUGAAAUGCGUAGAUAUCAGGAGGAACACCGGUGGCGAAGGCGGCCCUCUGGACGGAUACUGACGCUGAGACGCGAAAGCGUGGGGAGCAAACAGG
rnacentral:rRNA from 1 species